AGUGGACGCUGGCGGUAGGCCUAACACAUGCAAGUCGAACGGCAGCACAGUAAGAGCUUGCUCUUACGGGUGGCGAGUGGCGGACGGGUGAGGAAUACAUCGGAAUCUACUUUUUCGUGGGGGAUAACGUAGGGAAACUUACGCUAAUACCGCAUACGUCCUACGGGUGAAAGCAGGGGAUCUUCGGACCUUGCGCGAUUGAAUGAGCCGAUGUCGGAUUAGCUUGUUGGCGGGGUAAAGGCCCACCAAGGCGACGAUCCGUAGCUGGUCUGAGAGGAUGAUCAGCCACACUGGAACUGAGACACGGUCCAGACUCCUACGGGAGGCAGCAGUGGGGAAUAUUGGACAAUGGGCGCAAGCCUGAUCCAGCCAUACCGCGUGGGUGAAGAAGGCCUUCGGGUUGUAAAGCCCUUUUGUUGGGAAAGAAAAGCAGCAGGUUAAUACCCCGCUGUUCUGACGGUACCCAAAGAAUAAGCACCGGCUAACUUCGUG
rnacentral:rRNA from 1 species